GACGAACGCUGGCGGCGUGCUUAACACAUGCAAGUCGAACGGAAAGGCCCUGCUUUUGUGGGGUGCUCGAGUGGCGAACGGGUGAGUAACACGUGAGUAACCUGCCCUUGACUUUGGGAUAACUUCAGGCAACUGGGGCUAAUACCGGCUAGGAGCUCCUGCUGCAUGGUGGGGGUUGGAAAGUUUCGGCGGUUGGGGAUGUACUCGCGGCUUAUCAGCUUGUUGGUGGGGUAGUGGAUUACCAAGGCUUGGACGGGUAGCCGGCCUGAGAGGGUGACCGGCCACAUUGGGACUGAGAUACGGCACAGACUCCUACGGGAGGCAGCGGUGGAGAAUAGUGCACAAGGGGCGGAAGCCUGAUGCAGCAACGCCGCGUGCGGGAUGACGGCCUGCGGGUUGUAAACCGCUGUCGCCUGUGACGAAGCGUGAGUGACGGUAAUGGGUAAAGAAGCACCGGCUAACUACGUG
rnacentral:rRNA from 1 species